UUUACCUACGGGAGGCAGCAGUGAGGAAUAUUGGUCAAUGGCCGGAAGGCUGAACCAGCCAAGUCGCGUGAGGGAAUAAGGCCCUAUGGGUCGUAAACCUCUUUUGUCAGGGAGCAAAGGCGUCCACGUGUGGACGAGAGGAGAGUACCUGAAGAAAAAGCAUCGGCUAACUCCGUGCCAGCAGCCGCGGUAAUACGGAGGAUGCGAGCGUUAUCCGGAUUUAUUGGGUUUAAAGGGUGCGUAGGCGGAAUGCCAAGUCAGCGGUAAAAUCGCGGGGCUCAACCUCGCUCCGCCGUUGAAACUGG
rnacentral:rRNA from 1 species